GUGUCAGCAGCCGCGGUAAUACAGAGGUCUCAAGCGUUGUUCGGAUUCAUUGGGCGUAAAGGGUGCGUAGGUGGUGACGCAAGUCUGGUGUGAAAUCUCGGAGCUCAACUCCGAAAUUGCACCGGAUACUGCGUGACUCGAGGACUGUAGAGGAGAUCGGAAUUCACGGUGUAGCAGUGAAAUGCGUAGAUAUCGUGAGGAAGACCAGUUGCGAAGGCGGAUCUCUGGGCAGUUCCUGACACUGAGGCACGAAGGCCAGGGGAGCAAACGGGAUUAGAUACCCCCGUAGUCC
rnacentral:rRNA from 1 species